rnacentral:rRNA from 1 species
UACGUAGGGUGCGAGCGUUAAUCGGAAUUACUGGGCGUAAAGCGUGCGCAGGCGGUUCGCUGUGUCCGAUGUGAAAGCCCCAGGCUUAACCUGGGAAUGGCAUUGGAAACUGGCGGGCUUGAGUGUGGCAGAGGGGGGUGGAAUUCCGCGUGUAGCAGUGAAAUGCGUAGAGAUGCGGAGGAACACCGAUGGCGAAGGCAGCCCCCUGGGCUAACACUGACGCUCAGGCACGAAAGCGUGGGGAGCAAACAGG